rnacentral:lncRNA from 1 species
AUGCUUUACUUUCCAGGCCAAGAGAGCCACCAGGAGAGGACCUGCCCUCCCAGUCAUUACUGUCCCCAGGGCACUGGCCACAUCCCCUUUCCUUGCCCUCAGGACAUGUCCAGUCCAUGGAAGGGCCAAAGCCCAGCCCAGAGCUGUGGGCUAUGUUUUGCAGGAGCUGAAGUCACCCAACCUGACGGAGGCAUCCAUGACAUGGCAGGGGGCCCCUGCCCUCCAGGCCACUUCUGUCCAGUGGGCACAGCAGUGCCCCUGCCUUGCCCUGUGGGUACCUUCUCAGAUCGGAUGUUUCUCACCAUGGCAUCGGAGUGCCUGUCCUGCCCCUUUGGCCAUUUCUGUGGUGCAUCUGGCCUCACUGCCCCCUCUGGACCAUGUUCACCUGGCUACUUCUGUAUGGAAGGAGUCUCCUCCCCAACCCCAGCAGGCCACGCAGAGCAUGGGGGGCCCUGUCCCCAAGGCCACUUCUGCCCCAGUGGGACCAGCCUUCCCCAUCCUUGCCCUGCUGGCUCCUACAGCAACCUGACUGGCCAAGCAUCCUGCUUCCCCUGCCCUGCUGGCUAUUACUGCCCUGAGAACAUCACCACUUACAGCGGGCACCCCUGCCCCACUGGCUUCUACUGCCCCAGAGGCACCAAAUAUGCCACCCAGUUCCCCUGCCCUCGGGGCUACUACAACCCAGACCCAAUGACCCAGAGCCUGGACAGCUGCCUGCCUUGUCCCCCAGGCCACUACUGUGGGCAGGAGAAUCUGACCCAGGCCUCUGGACCAUGUGAUGCAGGCUGGUUCUGCGUCUCAGCAGCCUGGACCGCCCGCCCCUUUGACCUGGACAACUACACCAGCACCAAUUGCCUGUGUCCAGCCACGGCUACAGGGGGGAAGUGUCCAGCUGGAUCCUUCUGCCCUGAGGGCAGCUCAGAACCCAUGCCCUGCCCACCAGGCUCUUUCUGCGCCACCUCUGGCCUGUCCACACCCAGUGGGCCCUGCCAGGCUGGCUACUUCUGUGCCAAGGGAGCAGUGUCCCCAGCUCCAGAGGAUGGGCUGACAGGGGCCCCCUGUCCCCCAGGAACCUUCUGCCCUGCAGCAUCACACAGGCCAACACUGUGUCCCGCUGGCACCUUCUCCGGCCUCGCAGAGCAGACCAUGCCCUCUGCAUGCCAGACCUGUCCACGAAGCUUCUACUGCAAGGAGGCUGGUCUACAGGCCCCCAGUGGGCCUUGCCCAGCAGGUGAGAGGCAGCAAAGAUCUUCAGGUGCAGGGAAGGGGGACAAGGUCUGGGGGGGAGAGCGCCCCAAGGGCAGCUGUCUGGGUCCUGGGCUCCACAGCACAGCUCUCAAGGUCCUUGUGGCAAGAGACCCUGUUAUGUCUAAAUGUCUCAGGGAGAGGAUAGUCUUCCUAAGUGUCCCUCCCUCCUGGCCAGGUUAUUACUGCGACUCUAGUGCUGGGCCCAUCAAGGACUUCAGCCUAUAUCCUUGUCCUCAAGGCUAUUACUGCCCCCUGGGCACAGCCAUGGCCACACACCACAGGUGCCCAGUAGGUACAUAUGGCCCUCGGAGAGGGCUAAGGAGCAUCACUGAAUGCCAGCUGUGCCCUGCUGGGAAAUUCUGUGCACUGGCAGGGCUCGCGGCACCAACAGGUAUGUCCUGGAGGGCAGAAAAGGACUUCGGCAUAGGGUGGGCUUGA